CCUAGCUGCACCACACUCCAAUCACAACUUCCCGUCUGGGUUGCAUCGUGGGUUCUGUUCUUCGCUGCAUCUCUCCUGACUCUGCAUGUGCUUACCCGCCCCUUCCAGUCCUGUACCUGGAGUUUCCGACCCAGCCUCAGGACGCAGCCCUGCCAUCUUCGCUCUUCUUAACCGCAUACUCCCUCCUUCAGACAAACUGAGAUGCUGCCCCCUUCAUGCACCUACCAAGAUUAGGGAACUCUUUUUUUUUUUUCUUUUUAGGGCUGCCACCUGCGGCAUAUGGAAGUUCUCAGGCCAGGGGUUAAAUCAGAGCAACACUGGAUCCCUAACCCACUGAGUGAGGCCAGGGAUCAAACCUGCAUCCUCAUGGAUGCUAUGUCAGGUUCUUAACCCAUUGAGCCACAAAGGGAAUGUGAAGGGAACUGAUUUGAUUUUUUUCCUCACCCUAGGAGACCCUAAGCAGGGGCUGCGUUUUUGUCUUCUGCUUUAAAAGAAUCAAAGAUACGUUGCUGCUGUGUUAGUAAAUGACUGAAAGAACAAAAUACCGCCUUUUAAUUACUUCCUGUGUUACUCUUUUCCUGCGUUUCCCCACCUAAUCUACACUUCUUGGGGAAAGACUGUAUGUUUUCUUUCCACGGCCACAAUCCUGAAAACAAUGAUUGGUCCCUGGCUAAUCCCUUGUGACCUCAUCAAAACCAAAGACCCUACCUUUCCCUCGUGGAGGGACUCUCCCACUCUCUGAAGCAAGCUUUCUCCUCUUUGAGCCCAUCAAUGCACCCAGUUUCAUUCCUUAGUAAAGACUUUGAUUCUUAUUUCACUGAAAAUUAGAAGCAAUCAGGGUUUCUGGCAGUGCAGUUGACCAGAAAUUGUGACAUCUUCCAUCUAUAUAAUGAUAUCUACAAAUGCUCAAUAAAGUAUUAAAAAAAAAAAGAAAGAAAGAAAGAAAACGACCUUCCACAAAUCAUUGGUGAAAUGGCAGCAAAAUUAGAGAACGGAGCUGAGGAAGGAAAUAAGAUGAGGUGACAAAGGAGGCAUUGAAGCCCCCAAAACGGGCAGGGCCUGGAGUUCUGGCUCCACUGCCAAGGAGAGGCUGAGCUGGAGCCUACAGUCAGCCUGAGCCCCGGGAGCAGGGGGGCGUCUGCCCACUGAAAUCCAAGACAAGGAUUAUUCUUAACUCGUUAGCCAGCAUGAGGAUUUUAGAGUGUCACCCAAUUGCUCACCAUCUUCCAAGGACUCCUACUUCCUUGAGCAUAAAAUGGCAAAGCCCUUCAAGGCUCUCCGUGACCUGAGGCUCUUCCUUCCUUGACCUCCCUCUGCCUCCACGCCUGCCACACAGGCCUUCUUCCUCUCCCGUCCCUGCUGAUACCCCUGGCAUAAACAGCCACACUACCUCCCACCUCGGGUGGGUCCCGAACACUUUCUCUGUCCCUUUCCAGUUCCACCAACAUCAUGUGCCGAAUCCCUCACCUCCUUCAGCUCAGGGCUCCGGAAACAUCCUCAGAAAGGCUUUGCCCCAUCGCAGUAUAAAAAUAGACGCCUGGCCCUUCAUUCUCCAUCCCUUCCCAGCUUUAUCGUGCUACGGGGCACUAGUUGCUGAAACUACGCUUCAAGUUUUAUUAAAUGUGUAUUGCCGGUCUUUCCCCUGAAUGUGAACAUCACGAGGGAAGGAAUUUUCUUUUUCUUGUUCAGAUCAAUAAACCAGUCUUAGACGGGGGUGGAAGAGAUGGGCCCUUUAUUCACACGUGCCUUUGGAGAGCUGUACGCGCUCGAAGAAAGGGGGCACCAAGGGAGAGGUAUUAGUCAUCGGGAAAUAGCUGUUAUGGUAAACAGCCCCAAGGACCUGGCACAGUCAAGGUUUAUGCCUUUCCCAGACCCUGGUCCUGGUGGGUGUUCUUAGUCAGGUGGCCCAACCGGUGAGCAGGCUCUCUCAAUCCAGGGGCUCUGCUCUCCCCAGCUGGGUACCCCCCUUUUUUUUUAAGCUGCCCCUGAGGCAGAGGGAAGUUCCUGGGCUAGGGGUAGUACUCGUGCCACAGCUAUAACAGAGCCACAGAGCAGUGACAAUGCCAGAUCCUUAACAUGCUGAGCCACAAGGGAGCUCCUCCACUCCACUGGAUCCUUUGCAUCUGAUCAGAGGAGAAACCAAGGAGAGCAUUGAGUAUUAUCAGGGAGGUUUGAGGGUUCCGGUCUGGAAGUCACUUUCAGCGACAUCCCUUUCAUCAGAACUCAGUCACGAGGGCAUACCUAACUUUGAGGGGGCCUGGGGAAAAAUAGUCUGAUUCCAGGGGGACAAGGAGGUGGGGUUUGGUGAACACAUAGCAUCGUAGGGUCUGUCAAGAGAUGGAACCAGCAGGUAAUGUAUGCUGAUGGACAAAGAAUGAGAAACUUACCCUGGAAUAGUGUUCUAGGGGAAGGGAACAGCAGAUGCAAAGGCAAAGAGAUGUGAAAAAAUAGUGGCACAUUUUAGGAACUUGAGGUUGUAGGUAUGACUAUAUCCAUUGUAAUUGUACAGUGGGAAAUGAAAAGGUGUAAGGCGGAGGAAAUAGGCAGACUCUAGACUGUGAGGGAUUCUUUUUCUGUGUGUUUUUAGGGCCACACCCACGUCAUGUGGAGGUUCCCAGGCUAGGGGUCAACUGGAGCUGUAGCAGCUGGCCUGCACCACAGCCACAGCAACGUACAAUCUUAGCCGCAUCUGCAGCCUACACCACAGCCCACAGCAACGCCAGAUCCUUAACCCACUGAGUGAGGCCAGGAAUUGAACCUGCAUCCUCAUGGAAGCUAGUCAGAUUAGUCUCCGCUGAGCCACGCCAGAAACUCCCCCGAGAAGGAUUCUGUAUGCCAUGACAGAGGGUUCAGACUUAUUCUGAGGGUAAGAGAGACCCAUCGAGGGAUAUUAGAAGCAAGGGGUGGAGAAUAAUAUAAUCAAAUGAGUGUUAUUGAAAGCCCGCUCGAAUGGCUUUAUGGAGCGUGAAUUGGGGAUAAAGAGAAGGAAGACAAAAAAAAUUAGAUAGCUGUUGCAAAAGUGUAUCAAGAAACUUUGAGGGGUAGGAAUCAAAACUCAGACAGUCGUGAAGAAUGUAAGUAUACGGAUGACAGACUCUUUGCUGCACAGCAGAUAUAGACGCUACAUUGUAAAUCAACCCUAUUUUAAUUUAAAAAAUAAAACAUUUAAAAACUAAGACAAUAGUUAUAUGUGCUUGUUAAAUCCUCUUUCUUUCUGGAAAGUCUCGUGACCAGGUUUAUAGUCUUUGAUGACUCCUGACAUCGAUCUUGGCAAUUAAUUUUAGACUUGACACCAAAAGCUCAGGAAACAAAAAGAAAAGGAAACAUGUGGGACUGCAUCAAUCUAAAAAGCUUCUGCACGGCACAGUGCAAAAAUCAACAACAGGAAAAGCAACCAACCUAUGGGAUGGGAAAAAUAUUUGCAAACCCUAUGUCUAAAAGAUGGUUAAUAUCCAAAAUAAUUCUUCUUUGGAAUGAUUAGGUGUGCAUUCCAGAUAUUUUAAUGCCAUUAGAAGAAGAAGAGGGAGUUCCCAUCGUGGCUCAGCAGAAACAAAUCCAACUAGUAUCCAUGAGGAUACAGGUUCGAUACCUGGCCUCACUCAGUGGGUUAAGGAUCCAGUGUUGUGGUGAGCUGUGGUGUAGAUCACAGGCGCAGCUCAGAUCCCGAGUUGCUGUGGCUGUGGUGUAGGCCCACAGCUGUAGCUCCGAUUUGACCCCUAGCCUAGGAACUUCCAUAUGCCGAGGGUACAGCCCUAAAAAGCUAAUAAUAAAAAUAACAAUUUUUUAAAAAAAGAAGAAGAGAAGGAAAACCUGUGUGAGUUUCUUCCCUAUUCUGAAAAAAAAAUAGUAGGGUUCUAGAAAGGAGAAGGAAAAUUAAAGCAUCAGCAAUACUUUUUAAAAGACAUCUUUACAAAUCUAAAAUCACUUUGUUUGAUAAUACUUAUUAUAUUGAAAUGGCAGAAUUAUGGGUGAGUGACUUGUUUUUCUCCAUCGAAUUCUCUGUGUAAGUGCAUUACUAGUAUAAUAAAAAAUGAAUAAAGAUAGACGCGCUUUGACAAGUUAAUCUGCCGAUACAAUUGUUAGGGAUUCCUGAGUUCAAAUCUCUACCACUUGUGUGACAACCAGCACGUUGGCGUCAUGAUUAUUAUUAUUAACAUCAUCAUUGCCAUUGGUGUUAUUAGGUAGCAUUCAGCAUGUAUUAUGCGCCAGUCAUUCUUUUAAGCAGUUCAUAUACAUUAUCUCGAGUUAGUGAAUCUUUCAAAAUACACUUCUUCACCUAUUCAAAAACGGAUAACAACACCGACUUUGAGGACAACUUGAAGAAGAGAUGAGAGUGUACAUGAAAACCAUGUUGUAAACUGUAUAACAACAUGCAUGUGUUGGGUUCAAUCUUCGUGUAUGCUGAUUAUAAAGAACGUUCAGGUAAUGAAUAUGCAUUUACCUGUGCCUUGCUUUUGAAAAUCAAUGGAAGGAUUUUCCUAUCACUGAACUUUCAGGAAUUGGCCUCUUUGAGCUGUAAUAAUUUCUGACAAGCAGACAUCAUGUUAAGAAAUGAAGCAAAAACUGUUAUUUGGGUUUUAGGGCUUCAUAUUUUCCACAGUUCAAAAGCUGCUGAAAGCACUUAUUGCCAGAAAAGUGUUAGAGAGGAGAAGUGGAAGAAGGGGAAAGCUUCCAAAGUCCUUGAAUACAGAACAGCAGACUCCUGCUCUGAGCCGUCUCCAUUGGUCACUAUUGUUUCUCAUGCUUCGCUUUCAAGCUCUUCAGGGUCGGACAGAAAUGAUUAAUAUUCACGGUGAGACAAGCUUCUCUCCCUUUUCUUUGCUAGGUGAACUUAAGAUAUAAAAUAUGCAAAUUCCUUUUCAGACGGCAAUCAAUGAAGGGAAGAAAGAAGGUGGCCUUUGUCCAGAAAAGGCCUUAGCCCAUGAUGCUGGAAAGGUUGACUUAGCAGAAUCCUGGAAUGUAUUUUUGGUUCAAAGGUUGGCCUAUGUGUCAUGCUGUGUCCCCUCAGAAAAGGUAAUAUGGUCAUUAAUUGCUUAAGCUAAAAAUUAAGAACUACGCCUCAGGGAGUUCCCGUCGUGGCGCAGUGGUUAACGAAUCUGACUAGGAACCAUGAGGUUGCAGGUUCGGUCCCUGCCCUUGCUCAGUGGGUUAACGAUCCGGCGUUGCCGUGAGCUGUGGUGUAGGUUGCAGAUGCGGCUCGGAUCCCGAGUUGCUGUGGCUCUGGCGUAAGCUGGUGGCUACAGCUCCGAUUCGACCCCUAGCCUGGGAACCUCCAUAUGCCGCGGGAGCGGCCCAAGAAAUAGUAACAAUAACAACAACAAAAAGACAAAAGACAAAAAAAAAAAAAAA
ensembl:lncRNA